rnacentral:rRNA from 1 species
GGGCACCACCAGGGGGUGCUGCUGCGGCUUAUUUGACUCAACACGGGAAAUCUCACCAGGCCCGGACACCGGAAGGAUUGACAGAUUAACAGCUCUUUCUUGAUUCGGUGGGUGGUGGUGCAUGGCCGUUCUUAGUUGGUGGAGCGAUUUGUCUGGUUAAUUCCGGUAACGAACGAGACUCUAGCCUGCUAAAUAGGCGUCGCCAUUUAGGUGUGCUCGACUUCGGUCGUGCAACUCACUGGCGGCGUAUUAAAAUUCUUCUUAGAGGGACCGGCGGCUUCGAGCCGCACGAGAUUGAGCAAUAACAGGUCUGUGAUGCCCUUAGAUGUCCUGGGCCGCACGCGCGCUACACUGAAGGAAUCA